rnacentral:rRNA from 1 species
UACGGGGGGUGCGAGCGUUAAUCGGAAUUACUGGGCGUAAAGCGUGCGCAGGCGGUUAUGCAAGACAGGUGUGAAAUCCCCGGGCUCAACCUGGGAACUGCAUUUGUGACUGCAUGGCUGGAGUGCGGCAGAGGGGGAUGGAAUUCCGCGUGUAGCAGUGAAAUGCGUAGAUAUGCGGAGGAACACCGAUGGCGAAGGCAGCCCCCUGGGCCAACACUGACGCUCAGGCACGAAAGCGUGGGGAGCAAACAGG